GUUAACAUUUGAGAAAGCAUAGGCUUUCCUACACCCCCUUAUCUAGCCACUCAUUUUUGCAUCGCGAUUCGUGCGAGUACAUUUGUCUUUUUUGUUUCUCCCAUAUAGAACAACAUAUGAACUUCAAACUUGGCAGCUCAACAAAACAUUCUUACUAGAAUGUGGGAAAAACUUUUAGAAUUUUUCGUGCAAUAUAAAUACUAAAAAGUAUAAUUUUUAAUACAAAAAAUCUAAUUUCGUAUAUUUAUGUUUAACGAAAAAAUCUGAAAGUUUUUUCUCACAUUCUAGUUAGAACGUUUUGGUGUCUUGCAAAGUUUGAAGUUCAUAUGUUGUUUUAUUUUGAAGAAACAAAAAAGAGAAAAUUUGAU
rnacentral:lncRNA from 1 species